UUCGCUCUUCAACGAGGAAUCCCUAGUAAGCACAAGUCACCAGCUUGUGCUGAUUACGUCCCUGCCCUUUGUACACACCGCCCGUCGCUACUACCGAUUGAAUGGCUUAGUGAGGCCCUCGGAUCGACUUUCUGAGACUGGCAACAGUCUCUGAUUGUUGAGAAGUUGGUCAAACUUGGUCAUUUAGAGGAAGUAAAAGUCGUAACAAGGUUUCCGUAGAUGAACCUGCGGAAGGAUCAUUAAUGAUUUGGCGAACCUAACGUUAGUUAGGUUUUGCGAUCACUUAUUUAAAACCCAACUCUUAAAUGUAUAAUUUAUGUAUUUCUUGAUAAGAAAAAUAAAGAUCACUUUCAACAACGGAUCUCUUGGCUCUCGCAUCGAUGAAGAACGUAGCGAAGUGCGAUAAGUAAUGUGAAUUGCAGAAUUCCGUGAAUCAUCGAAUCUUUGAACGCAAAUUGCGCUUUCUGGUAUUCCGGAAAGUAUGCCUGUUUGAGGGUCAGUUAAAUAAAAAUCGGUGUUAUUGCUAUUAUGGCGAUGCAUCGGAAUUGAGUCGUCUUUACCUUUGGUUUAAGUGACUUAAAAUUAUGUACGAUUUUUGAACGUAUUUAAAUUAUUUACUUAUGUUCAUAAUAUCACAUAUUAGGUGCGAUCAUCCACAUGAUUUUGCGCCUAUAAUUUUUCAUUAUUUGACCUCAAAUCAGGUAAGAAUACCCGCUGAACUUAAGCAUAUCAAUAAGCGGAGGAAAAGAAAAUAACAAUGAUUCCCUUAGUAACGGCGAGUGAAGGGGGAUAAGCUCAAAUUUUAAAUCUGCUAGGUUUUACUUAUCAGAGUUGUAAUUUGAAGAAGCGUUUUCCGCGUCUCGGUUGACCCAAAUCCUUUGGGAUAUGGUAUCAUGGAGGGUGAGAAUCCUGUCCGGUUGACUUUUGUGACGCUUUACGAUACGCUUUCAAAGAGUCGAGUUGUUUGGGAAUGCAGCUCAAAAUGGGAGGUAAAUUUCUCCUAAGGCUAAAUACCGGCGAGAGACCGAUAGCGAACAAGUACCGUGAGGGAAAGAUGAAAAGAACUUUGAAAAGAGAGUUAAACAGUACGUGAAAUUGUUGAAAGGGAAACGAUUGAAGCCAGUCGUACUGACGGAAAAUCAACUUUUCGGGUGCCUAUCGUGGGUGACGUCGAGCCUCACGGUCUUCGUUGCUUGUGUUGUUGGUACCUUUGGAGUGCACUUUUUCGUAUGGUAGGUCAACAUCGAUUUUAAUCGUCAUAAAAUGAUCGGAGGAAUGUGGCUUCGAUUUCGAUUGGAGUGUUAUAGCCUUUGGUAGAUGUGACGAUUGGGAUCGAGGAUUGCAACGAAUACCCUUUGGGCUAUCCGUCUGGCCUCUGAAAGUCGCUUGGGUGCUGAAAGCUUGCUUAUAGUAUUCAAGUUGGCGGUCAACAGGUUAGAACGUGAUUACAUUCGUUAAGGAUGUUGACGUAAUGGCUUUAAACGACCCGUCUUGAAACACGGACCAAGGAGUCUAACAUAUGUGCGAGUGUU
rnacentral:rRNA from 1 species